rnacentral:rRNA from 1 species
UCGAGAAUAGUCUACAAUGGCCGGAAGGCUGAUAGUGCGACGCCGCGUGAACGAAGGAGCCCUUCGGGGUGUAAAGUUCUUUUCUAUACGAGCAGUACUAUAUAGGUGAAUAAUUUAUAUAGGGGGAUAGUAGUAUAGGAAUAAGCAACGGCUAACUCCGUGCCAGCAGCCGCGGUAACACGGGGGUUGCGAGCGUUGUCCGGAAUUACUAGGCGUAAAGGGCAGUCAGGCGGAUCUGCGAGUUUUUUGUUAAAGGCUACGGCUCAACCGUAGUAAGGCAGGAGAUACUGUAGAUCUGGAAUUUGGUAGAGGAAGACAGAAUUCCUGGUGUAGCGGUGGAAUGCGCAGAGAUCAGGAGGAAUACCGAAGGCGAAGGCAGUCUUCUGGGCCGAUAUUGACGCUUAACUGCGAAGGUGUGGGGAUCAAACAGG